GGAUCGACAGGUUGGUCGCGCCUUCGGUGUGUACUGGUCUAGUCGGUUUCUCCCUUCUGACGAACCACGAUGUCAUUAAUUUGGUGUCGUGGGAAAUCAGGACUGUUACUUUGAAAAAAUUAGAGUGUUUAAAACAGGCUUAUGCUUGAAUACAUUAGCAUGGAAUAACGGAAUAGGACU
rnacentral:rRNA from 1 species